UAUGUAUAAAGAACAAAAAGAAAAAUUUAGUAGCAAAUUAAUACACGAGUUCAUAAUGAGACUUAUCAACUGCGACAAAAAUAAUGAAGUUUGGAUACGAUUAGACGAUCAUGUGACCCAUUUUAGCAUGCAAGAAUUUUGUCUAAUCACUGGAUUACCAUGCCAUGAAGUUGCUGUUGAUCUUAAUUUCAGUAAUACUCGACUUAGG
rnacentral:lncRNA from 1 species